rnacentral:pre_miRNA from 1 species
CAUAUACUCCCUCAGUUCCAUAUUAAGUGACUUUCUGUUACAUGUAUCUUGACGUUUUUUAGGCAUAGAUACAUCCAUAUUUGAGUAAAUUUGAGUCACUUAAUAUGGGACGGAGGGAGUAUUAG